rnacentral:rRNA from 1 species
GACUGUGCUAAGGUAGCAUAAUAAUUUGGCCUUUAAUUGGGGUCUUGUAUGAACGAAUAAACCUGGGAUAGCUGUCUUUAAGUUAAUUUAAUAAACUUUCUCAUAAGGUGAAAAUUCCUUAUAAAUAAGAUAGACGAGAAGACCCUUAGAUUUAAUAGGAAUAUAUUUAUAAAUUAAUUAGUUCUGUUUGUUGGGGCGACAAAGCAUCAUAUAACAUACUUAUCAUAUUUUCAAUAAAUCUGUUUAUUUCAAUAAAAAUCUAAAUACCUAAGGGAUAACAGCAUAAUUUCACUAUUAGAUUGUGACCUCGAUGUUGGACUAGGA